AUUUUUGAAUUUGAACCAAUCAGCAUUAACGGCUACAACUUUUCGCCUAACACACUGCCUUUACUUUCUACUUUCCCAUCUGUUAAAUUCUUUUCCCCACAUUUCCCCUCUUUCCUUGCUAACUUCCUCCUGAUUCCUGUGCCGGCUUCCCUUACUAAUCCUGCGAAUCCCUUGCUCUGCUCCCUGCUCUUUCGUCCACAACCCCACCUCUGGUUAGUUCUUUUCUCUUCUCCUUCUUAUUUUUGAUGUUCUCCACAGGGGCUCUGUCCUCUCUAGAGGAAAUCAAGGCUCACCGCUUGGCAACCUUCGCCACUCUUCCCCCUUGUCACUGAGGCACCCAACCAAGAAAUCCUUGACCAAUCAUGUGAACUGUCAACCAGCGAAUCUGUCUAUAACCUCGCUAAUCGAGUCGGUGGGUUUUGCUACUCCUCCUUGCUAAAUGACCUCCUUCGCACCACCGGCUGUCAAGAACAAGACCGCCCUUGGCAGCACCGAGAGUUUAACGACCUCAGGCACUCUCACUUUUUCUUCAUCCAUGAAUACCUAUUCCUUGACCUGAACAUAAAACUUCCCUUCUCACCUUUCCUUACCCUCAUGU
rnacentral:lncRNA from 1 species